CUCUGGUCCCUUCAGCUUCUACAGCACUGGCUGUGAAUGUCCUCUGAGGUCAGGAUACCGUUCAGGUGCCUGCGUCAUCCCUUUCCACUACCUCCAGCAUCCGGAAUCUCAUUUUAGCUGUGGGGAUCACGAGACCCACAAACCGUAAAGGGGGAAAUCCAGAAAUAGAAGCCGAGGGACAAAGAAGCAAGAUCUACUCAGUGGGGGUCUGGCCAAACCAGCUGAGAAGGAGGAGGAAGACAAGAAAAAGAGUAAGAAGAACAAGGAGAAGAAAAGGGUAAGAGGAAGCAACAAUCAGAGGCAGAAAUGAUGCAUCUAAUGUUUAGGAAAAUUAUAUUUAAAAUAAAAAAAAGAGAAGGAGUUCCUGUUGUGGCUCAGUGGUAACGAACCCGACUAGUAUCCAUGAGGACGCAGGUUCAAUUCCUGGCCUCAUGAGUGGGUUAAGGAUAGGCAUUGCUGUGAGCUGUGGUGUAGGUUGGCAGCUGUAGCUCCAAUUUGACCCCUAGCAUCUUUUUAGGGCUGCCAUGGGUGCAGCCCUAAAAAGAAAAAUAGUA
rnacentral:lncRNA from 9 species